AGCAACAAAUGCCCUGCUUCCAGGAAAAGCCUCUAAGCAUCAGGUAACAUCAAAUCGUACCCCAAACCGACACAGGUGGUCAGGUAGAGAAUACCAAGGCGCUUGAGAGAACUCGGGUGAAGGAACUAGGCAAAAUGGUGCCGUAACUUCGGGAGAAGGCACGCUGACACGUAGGUGAAGUGAUUUACUCAUGGAGCUGAAGUCAGUCGAAGAUACCAGCUGGCUGCAACUGUUUAUUAAAAACACAGCACUGUGCAAACACGAAAGUGGACGUAUACGGUGUGACGCCUGCCCGGUGCCGGAAGGUUAAUUGAUGGGGUCAGCGCAAGCGAAGCUCCUGAUCGAAGCCCCGGUAAACGGCGGCCGUAACUAUAACGGUCCUAAGGUAGCGAAAUUCCUUGUCGGGUAAGUUCCGACCUGCACGAAUGGCGUAAUGAUGGCCAGGCUGUCUCCACCCGAGACUCAGUGAAAUUGAACUCGCUGUGAAGAUGCAGUGUACCCGCGGCAAGACGGAAAGACCCCGUGAACCUUUACUAUAGCUUGACACUGAACAUUGAGCCUUGAUGUGUAGGAUAGGUGGGAGGCUUUGAAGUGUGGACGCCAGUCUGCAUGGAGCCGGCCUUGAAAUACCACCCUUUAAUGUUUGAUGUUCUAACGUGGACCCGUGAUCCGGGUUGCGGACAGUGUCUGGUGGGUAGUUUGACUGGGGCGGUCUCCUCCUAAAGAGUAACGGAGGAGCACGAAGGUUGGCUAAUCCUGGUCGGACAUCAGGAGGUUAGUGCAAUGGCAUAAGCCAGCUUGACUGCGAGCGUGACGGCGCGAGCAGGUGCGAAAGCAGGUCAUAGUGAUCCGGUGGUUCUGAAUGGAAGGGCCAUCGCUCAACGGAUAAAAGGUACUCCGGGGAUAACAGGCUGAUACCGCCCAAGAGUUCAUAUCGACGGCGGUGUUUGGCACCUCGAUGUCGGCUCAUCACAUCCUGGGGCUGAAGUAGGUCCCAAGGGUAUGGCUGUUCGCCAUUUAAAGUGGUACGCGAGCUGGGUUUAGAACGUCGUGAGACAGUUCGGUCCCUAUCUGCCGUGGGCGCUGGAGAACUGAGGGGGGCUGCUCCUAGUACGAGAGGACCGGAGUGGACGCAUCACUGGUGUUCGGGUUGUCAUGCCAAUGGCACUGCCCGGUAGCUAAAUGCGGAAGAGAUAAGUGCUGAAAGCAUCUAAGCACGAAACUUGCCCCGAGAUGAGUUCUCCCUGAGACUUUAGGUCUCCUGAAGGAACGUUGAAGACGACGACGUUGAUAGGCCGGGUGUGUAAGCGCAGCGAUGCGUUGAGCUAACCGGUACUAAUGAACCGUGAGGCUUAACCUUACAACGCCGAAG
rnacentral:rRNA from 3 species